UUUAUUGGAGAGUUUGAUCCUGGCUCAGGAUGAACGCUGGCGGCGUGCCUAAUACAUGCAAGUCGAGCGAAUGGAUUGAGAGCUUGCUCUCAAGAAGUUAGCGGCGGACGGGUGAGUAACACGUGGGUAACCUGCCCAUAAGACUGGGAUAACUCCGGGAAACCGGGGCUAAUACCGGAUAACAUUUUGAACUGCAUGGU
rnacentral:rRNA from 1 species